AAUCAACGCUGGCGGCGUGCCUAACACAUGCAAGUCGAACGAUGAAGCCGCUUCGGUGGUGGAUUAGUGGCGCACGGGUGAGUAACACGUGACUAACCUACCCUCGAGUGGGGAAUAACUUCGGGAAACCGAGGCUAAUACCGCACUAAUACCCACGGGUCAAAGGAGCAAUUCGCUUGAGGAGGAGGUCGCGGCCGAUUAGUUAGUUGGCGGGGUAAUGGCCCACCAAGACAGUGAUCGGUAUCCGGCCUGAGAGGGCGCACGGACACACUGGAACUGAAACACGGUCCAGACUCCUACGGGAGGCAGCAGUGGGGAAUUUUGCGCAAUGGGGGAAACCCUGACGCAGCAACGCCGCGUGGAGGAUGAAGUCUCUUGGGACGUAAACUCCUUUCGAUCGGGACGAUUAUGACGGUACCGGAAGAAGAAGCCCCGGCUAACUUCGUG
rnacentral:rRNA from 1 species